GGGAGGGGGCAUUUCUAUUUUUUACACACUCUAAAUUCAGAUUUUCCCCUUCUUCUCACCUAAAACCCUAUACAUUCUCUUCCCUUCCUCCUCUUCACCCACAGCCGCCGACCACCACCCUUACUGCCGCCAACUUCACCUCCAACCAUAUCUCCACAGCCAAACAGGCCGAUUUCAUUGAAUUCCUCAAAAACUCCUUUGCUCUAGAUUUUGAAAAGAAGAAGAGGAAGAAGCGUAACAAGAACAGCCAAACAACCCUUGUUUCAUCCUCUUCAAUCGUAUACUCCAACUAGCAAUGGGCUUGGAGAGUUUUUAUCCCAAAUGUACUUGAGAUGCUGUUGAACCUGAUACAAAGAUAGCUGCUAGCUGUUGAUAUAGUUUCUCUGUAUUUGCUGUCACAUUUAAGGUAAAACAAUGAAUGCAUUUAAGGUAAAUGUUCUCUAAACUUUGAUAUAGUUGGAUGCUCCAUUUUUCUGCUUUAUUUGGGCCUUGAACUGCUGUACUCUCUGGCCAUUUUCUUGCUGUAUUCUGGGCCACAAACUGCUGCCAUCUCUGUGAUGCCAUUUUUGGGAUGAGUUGGCUACUGUUGAUUACUACUUGUUGCUGUGACAUUUCUUUAGAUUGCUGCACUUUAAAGGCUCUCAAAGUGCUACAUUUUUUGGAAAAAUUAGCUGCUGUCUUACUGUCUAAAAUUAGCUGCUGUCUUACUGUCUAAAAUUAGCUACUGUCCAAUGUUUGUUAUAUCCUAUUGCUGCUGCUUUCUUGCCAUUUACCGCUGCCCUUCAAGGGCAGAUUGUUGGCCUGAAUGUUGGAUACUUUGAAGUUGAGCUAUGCCACUAAGUGAACUGUUGCAUUUUGGCCCAAAUGUGUUGUGUGUCUAGCCUAAACUUUGCCUAAUUUGCUGCUCCUUUUAAAGGUUUAAACCUGUUGUUAUUUGGUUUCUGCACUUGAGACCUCUCUGGUACUAUUACAUAGUGGGCUCUUGGUUAUAAAGAAUAAAGGUUACACUUGAGUUAUUAUACGUAGCUACUACUGUAUUGAACUUGAGCUACUAUUUUGUUUAGAGUUAUUAGCAUGUUUUGGUUCACUGGUGCUAUUUUCUACCGCACCUUUGGCCAAUUUUGUUGCCAUAUCUUGAUGUAUUUUAUGCUAUGCUUGAUGAGAAAAUACUCCCCUAAAGUUUUGCAUUUGGUAAGAGUAGUUGUUGUGGUCUUGAGGCUGACAGAUUCCCCAUAUUUUUGGGGAAAGUACUGCUACCUGAUUGUUGUUGCACUCCAGCCAGUUGCACUGCUAUUUUAUUUUAAGGAAACAUAUGCCACACUUGACAUGCUAUAAUAGAUGUUGCUCUAUUUCAUUAUUUCAGAAGAAACAAAUACUGCCUAUGUUUGGUAUUUACUGAUUAAGAUACGAUACUACACUCUGGCCGAUGAAAGAAAUUUUCAUCGAUUUCCAAGGAUUUCCAUGUACAAAAGACUGAGUUUUUUAUUUAUUUUAAGUUUAUUCAUUAUUUCUUUAAUUCAUUCGAUAGUUAUUUAUUCUCUUACUAACACUUUUAUUAAGUAUUUAUACAGGUACCCGAAGAUACAUACCGAAGAAGACACUCGGAAGGAACCCGAAGACUUCAUCGAAUCACUGUUUGUAUUUUGCUUUCCGCAUUUUUUUACGGAAAAGGCUCAUAAAUACCCCUAACCUAUUGAAAAAGGCUCAUAAAUACCAUCUUUCCACCUUUUGGUCUAAAAAUACCCUUAAGGUUUGUUUUUGGCUCAAAUAUACCCCUCAAACUAACAAGUUAAAAUUAACUCUUUUAAAAAGCCAAAUGACAUUUUGUAAUUAGUCAAUAAUAAAAUUCCGUAAUUUAAAAAAACAUCUGGAUUUUUUUUUAAAUUACAAAAUGCCAUUUGGCUUUUUAAAAGAGUUAAUUUUAACUUAUUAGUUUGAGGGGUAUAUUUGAGCCAAAAACAAAUCUUAAGGGUAUUUUUAGACCUAAAAGGUGGAUGAAAGGAUAUUUUUAGACCAAAAGGUGGAAGGAGGGUAUUUAUAAGCCUUUUUCAAUAGGUUAGGGGUAUUUAUGAGCCUUUUCCGUUUUUUUUUUAUAACUGUACAAAGCAUAAACUCAUAGUAUGGUGGAAACUUUAUUUUUGGAAUGACGGGUUGAUAUAUUUAUUUACUUGUCGCCUUGUUUGUUAAACUUAAAAUUGUCAUUCGCUUUAGGCAAGACUUAAGCCAUCCACACUUUCAUAAAUUCAUUAGAUUGACUCGAUAUAAACGCUCGGUUAAUUAACUCACUUUUGAUGUUUAGACAAAAUAUUAGUUCAUUCUUUGUUUCAAAGCACAUUCUUUAUCAAUAUACUUUUCAUACAUAUGUCUUUAGUUUUCCUUAAAUAUUCAACCUUUUUUACAAGUAAUUCUUUCAUAAUUUUUUUUAAUCCUCAAAUACGCUUUUUCUAUUCUUUGAUCAGCACUUAAAACAAAAUCAUCCCUUUACAUGAAAGAAGAUACAACUCAAUUAACUUUCUCAUUUUUCAAAUACUUUUCUUAAAUACAGUUCUUUACACUAUACGAUUUAUGUUCGCUCAUAUUCAACUUUUUAUAUCUUUAUAUACUUUGAUACAUUACUCUACAUACCCUUUUACACUUUUUUACUUUUGUUAUAAUAUAUAUUCUUUAUACUAUCAAUAUACACUCCUUAUAUACUUAUUGUACAACCUUUUACACAUUUUUUAAUAUAUAUGUUUAAUAUACAUAUAUUCUUUCAUAUUCUAUUAUACUCUUUUAUACAUUCUUUAUAUAGUUGUAUAUAUUAUUUACACCAACUGAUAUACCUUUUGUGGCAAUAGAUAUAUACUCAUUUUACUAACAAAUACACUACUAUCGAAAGAGGUAUGUUUUAUUUACAAUCCUUUAUACAUUUCUAUUGAUAUACAUUCUAUAUAAAUACUUGAUACUUGAUAUACAUACAUUUUUUAUACACCGUAUAUACUUAGUAUAUUGAUAACCUAGUGUAGCUUUUCAUGAAGUCAUAACAUUUUGAAAAUAUGUAAUAAUAAUGAUAAAUGGAUAAAUAAUCCCCCUCUAGUGUUCAAUUAAACUAAGUUUAAGGACUGUCUUCGGACAGGCUCUGAGGGAUGCUUAAUACCUUCCCCUCGGGGUAAAUAAAACCCUUAUCUAAAAUUUCAUAGGUUUCGUGGACCAAAAAUGGAGUAUACACACAAAUACAUAUAGGUUUCCUAUUUUUCCUUAAAACUUAGGUGGCGACUCUAACCCUUUUAAAACCAGUUAGAAGAACCGUGAAGUUGCAAACUAUAUUGGACCCAUUCAAAAUAGGGCGUAACAUUAAUCUUUCGAUUCAGUUUGAUUCAAUUCUAUGAGAUCUUACUGAGGUGUCCAUCUUUCGAUUCAGUUUGAUUCAAUUUUACGAGAUCUUAAUUGCAAGUUUCAAAAAUAAUUUAAAUUAUAUCUAAUUAAGUUUGAUUAAUUGUUAAUAUCAAAUUUAAACAAAAUCAACUAACUUUAUUAAGACAAACUCAAGCUUCAUCUUGAAUAAAUUUUAAUUAUAAUUUGAAUAAGUAAUGGUUAGAUGUAACCUUCUAAUAAGUAAUUAUAUCGAAUUUAAAUUACAAAAUUUCACUUAGUCUUGCUCAAGAUCAUCUUGAUCAAGUGUUCUGAGAAUCAUAAUUUUACUCGAACAUGUUCGAUCGGGACAAUAUCUUUAUCAAUCUAGUGUAUUUAGGUGUUGAUCGUUCCAUUUGAUCCAAUUUUACAUGGUCUUAUUUGUAAUUGUCAAAUAUAAUUUAAAUAAAUUGUUAAAUUAUAUCUAAUAAAAUAUAAUUGACUAUUUAAAUUGAAUUUAAACAAAACUAAACUAAGGCUUGCUUCUUCAUCCUGAACAAGUACUUCAAGAAUUAUUUAUUUUACUCGGUACCUCUAUUAUUAAAAUAAUUAUUACCAUUAAAAUAAUACCUUAACUGAUCUAAUGUAAUUAAAUGUUCAUAUAUAGUUUGAUUCGAUUUAAUUUUACGAGAUAUUACUUUUAAUUGUAAGUUUAAAUAUUAUUUAAAUAAAUAGGUAAUUGUGACGACUCGUUUAGUCAUUUCGCAUUUUUGGACUCUUUUCCCCUAAAAUAUUGUUUUCGUAGUUUUAAAAAGUAUUCUUGACUUGCGGGAAUUGGCGGCACGGUAAUUUAAUUGGCGAGUACUUUUUAAAAUACAUUUAUUUAAUGUGUGUGAAUAGUUUAUUCAUAGGAAUAUGAGUUUCACAUUUAUAAGACACAAGUUUGUAAAUGAAAUAUUUGACAGAAUGACUAUGUUUUAAAGAACACAAAGUGGUUAAGUGAAUAAGUAAAUUGGGGAAAACAAUUGUGAUGAGUUAAUGGGCCAAAUCCACAAUUCAUUUAGUAUCCUACGUUCCAUGGCCCAUAUGUAAGGAUGAAUUUAAGCGGGUAGGGUUUGAAAUGCUAAAUUAAAUAAUCAAAGUUUUAAGCAAAGAGUUUGUUUACAGAUGUUGCGUUGUCGUCACUUAUGCUUCGAAGGGGAUUUCUUCACUAACCUCCAGACUUCAAUCGUUCAAAGGCUCUACACAAAGGGAAGACAUUGGUUUGAUCAUUCGUGUCACUCGCUUGGCAUUGAGAGUUCAUUGUUGGUCCUACAUCCCGACCUCAGAAGUGAAUCCUGAGGCUACUUGUUAGAGUUCCCAGGGUAAGCUACAUUGAUGGAUCCGCAGUCCAGAGACACAUCUUUUACAUAUCCAUCUUUUUUUGUAUUCUUGAGACAAUAUCCUUAGUUUGAGACAUGUAUUAUUCUAUCAGACUUGUAUCUAUUAUUGGUGGCUUUUGCACGAUGUUCAGACGAGGUUUUGGGUGUGAUGGAAUAAGUACUUCCGCA